UAGGGAAUCUUCGGCAAUGGACGGAANNNUGGACCGAGCAACGCCGCGUGAGUGAAGAAGGUUUUCGGAUCGUAAAGCUCUGUUGUAAGAGAAGAACGAGUGUGAGAGUGGAAAGUUCACACUGUGACGGUAUCUUACCAGAAAGGGACGGCUAACUACGUGCCAGCAGCCGCGGUAAUACGUAGGUCCCGAGCGUUGUCCGGAUUUAUUGGGCGUAAAGCGAGCGCAGGCGGUUAGAUAAGUCUGAAGUUAAAGGCUGUGGCUUAACCAUAGUACGCUUUGGAAACUGUUUAACUUGAGUGCAAGAGGGGAGAGUGGAAUUCCAUGUGUAGCGGUGAAAUGCGUAGAUAUAUGGAGGAACACCGGUGGCGAAAGCGGCUCUCUGGCUUGUAACUGACGCUGAGGCUCGAAAGCGUGGGGAGCAAACAGGAUUAGAUACCCUGGUAGUCCACGCCGUAAACGAUGAGUGCUAGGUGUUAGACCCUUUCCGGGGUUUAGUGCCGCAGCUAACGCAUUAAGCACUCCGCCUGGGGAGUACGACCGCAANUUG
rnacentral:rRNA from 1 species